rnacentral:rRNA from 1 species
GACGAACGCUGGCGGCGGGCUUAACACAUGCAAGUCGAACGGAAAGGCCCUGAUUGUUUGGGGUGCUCGAGUGGCGAACGGGUGAGUAACACGAGAGUAACCUGCCCUAGACUUUGGGAUAACUUCAGGAAACUGGGGCUAAUACCGUAUAGGAGCUUCUGCUGCAGGGUGGGGGUUGGAAAGUUGCGGCGGUUGGGGAUGGAUGCGCGGCUGAUCAGCUUGUUGGUGGGGUAGUGGCUUGCCAAGGCUUUGACGGGUAGCCGGCCUGAGAGGGUGACCGGCCACAUUGGGACUGAGAUACGGCCCAGACUCCUACGGGAGGCAGAAGUGGGGAAUAUUGCACAAUGGGCGGAAGCCUGAUGCAGUAACGCCGCGUGCGGGAUGACGGCCUUCGGGUUGUAAACCGCUUUCGCCUGUGACGAAGCGUGAGUGACGGUAAUGGGUAAAGAAGCACCGGCUAACUACGUG